rnacentral:rRNA from 1 species
GAUGAACGCUGGCGGCGUGCCUAAUACAUGCAAGUCGAGCGAACAGACGAGGAGCUUGCUCCUCUGACGUUAGCGGCGGACGGGUGAGUAACACGUGGAUAACCUACCUAUAAGACUGGGAUAACUUCGGGAAACCGGAGCUAAUACCGGAUAACAUGUUGAACCGCAUGGUUCAACAGUGAAAGACGGUCUUGCUGUCACUUAUAGAUGGAUCCGCGCCGCAUUAGCUAGUUGGUAAGGUAACGGCUUACCAAGGCAACGAUGCGUAGCCGACCUGAGAGGGUGAUCGGCCACACUGGAACUGAGACACGGUCCUGACUCCUACGGGAGGCAGCAGUAGGGAAUCUUCCGCAAUGGGCGAAAGCCUGACGGAGCAACGCCGCGUGAGUGAUGAAGGUCUUCGGAUCGUAAAACUCUGUUAUUAGGGAAGAACAAAUGUGUAAGUAACUAUGCACGUCUUGACGGUACCUAAUCAGAAAGCCACGGCUAACUACGUG